UGGUGCUUUUUAUCACACCAGUGUCCUCCCUUACUGGGUAUAAAACUCCCCCACGGGUACAGUAUCAGGACAUUCACAUUAUUCAUGGGGUAUAACUGGCUCAAUUGUAAAACUCCCCCCCCCUCCAGUAAAAAUAUCGGGACAUUCACACAUAGGUCUGCUUCCUACCAGAGGACUGUGCACGAUCCACAGUGUUACAACAGAAAGUGUUAAAGUCCGCCCCAAGGGGAGGUACCUGGGCAUUCCCACCAAGCCCGAGUGUAUAUUAACCCAUUGAACUUUGUGCUUCACGGGCUUCCCUCACCCCCAACAGAUCAAGACUGUGGUGGACAUCUAAAUUGCAACAAUCAACUCUCAUCGCUGGAUACACAGAAGUUCUUGCCAACUUCAAAUGAGCUUUGGUCACAUGAAUUUUCUUCCUACAGUGAUUUGAAGUCAAUGGGACGACCAUGACUUAAUGAAAACAGCAUUUUGCCGAUGUUGAUGCUUUUGAAAAUCUCAUCUUUAAAGCUCUGUGGAAGUAAUUGGGCAGUAAAGCUGUUAUGAUCAGAAACUGCAACACCAGAAUGACUGGAAAUAUGGUCAGGAUGCAUACUUCUGCUUUGCAGUUGGAAUUGUGGCAUUCUUGAAAGAUUUCAUGAAGUCUGAAUAUUCAUUUAUUUUGGGAAAAGCUAAGGAUCUUCUGGUAGAGCAAAUUUUUCUGUUGUUUGGACCAAAGCAAAAUAGGACCUGGAAAAUCACAGAAUUAUAGCUUCUUUUUUUUUUUUUAAUUGGUUUCUUCAUUUAUUUGGAUGGUUUUGUACAAUGAUUAGAGACUAAAUGUUUUAUUUAAGCUGCUUUGAUUUCCUCUAAAAUCAUUGCCAACUUGAGCACAAGAUGAUACAUGAAAUCAAAAAUUCCUUUCUGAAAAUGUUAUACUACGCCAUUUACCAAAUCAAGCACUUCAGUUCUCAUUAGCUCUAGAAUAAAAUAUUCUGGGGUUUAGGCAAAAAGCAUCUAUCCUAUUAUGGAUAUGCCAUUUUCUGUAAAAUUGUAUUUCAACUGGUACCUGGAAUAUGGCUAACCUACCGGCCUUUGGCUUGAAAAUAAAAAACAAAUCUUCAUUUUACCAUUUUAUCUUCCCUAAUUUGUACCAUAUAAAUAUGGUUUGUUUUGUACUAUUUAACUAAAUUAGCAAAUAUCCAGACCAACAGGAAACAAAUAACUGUUCUCCCACUGGAUUUCUCACUGCCCUUCCAGCCACUGAGCCUUACUUGUUCUUGGCAAUUCUGCAAUUAUGCAGCUUUAAGUGAAAGAUACACAACAUGCACCCCCUUCCAUCUUAUGUGUUGCUCCAGUAUGUCCCCAAUUUACAUUUUUUCUUUCUAUUUACUGAGAAUAUUACACAUUUCCCAUUGUAAGUAAAUGCCCAACUGAUUGAAAAAAAAUGUUAAAAUAGCAGUGGGGCAAGAGAGAGGCCAAAGAAAAUGGCAUCAAUCCUACUGGAAUAGGAUAUGUAAUCUCUCACUUUUUAUACUUUGUGAGGUUAGAAGGUUUCCCAUUGUAGUACAGUAACACACAAUUUCUUUGAUAUUUUUGUACCUUCAGCAUGGCCAUUUACAAUAGAAUAAUUUUUGACUGGGAUCUACAAAAUCUGACUGACACAGUCCAUUACUGUGCAUGUCUUUGUUACUUAUUCCAGCAGGGACAUGGAUGAAUUAUCAUGGAAUCAUAGAAUGAUUUGAGUUGGAAGGGACAUUAAAGAUUCUCUAGUUCCAAUGCUCUGCCACAGGCAGGAACAUAUUCCACUAGACCAGGUUGCUCAGUGCACCAUCCAACCUGAACUUGGACACUGACAGAGAUGGGGCAUCCACAACUUGUCUGGACAACCUGUUCCAGUGCCUCGCCACCCUCACAAUAAAUAAUAUUAAUAAAUAAUAUUAAUAAAUAAAAUUAAUAAAAAGAAUAAUCAUUAUCAUAACCAUCAUCCUAAUAUCCAAUCUAAAUCUCCCUUUUUUCAGUUUAAAGCCAUUCUCCCUUGUCCUAUCACUAAUUCCCUUGUAAAAACUCCCUCUCGAACUCCCUUGUAGGCCUCCUUUGGGUACUGGAAAGUGCUAUAUGGUCUUCCUGGAGCCUUCCCUUUUCCAGGCUGAUCAACUCAAUUCUCUCAGUUUAAAUUCACAACAGAGAUUCUCAUGUCCUCUGAUCAUCUUUAUGGCCUUCCUAUGGACUCAUUCUAACAAGUUCAUGUCCUUCUUAUGUUGGAGGCAAGUAUUCCAGUCUGGGUGCGGAAUUCUCUGAGAAGGUUCAAAGUGGGAUUUUGAUGCACAGAAUGGUCUUACAGGGUCCUGCUGUGGUCACUUGUGGAAAACAAUAACAAUAAUACGCACUUUCUCCUGAAUGAAAAACUUUCCCAUUAUCCCUGCCUGAACAUGUCUAUUAAAAGCUCAUAUUCUUCCUGUGCAGUUAAAGUUGUUUACUGGCUAUUCUCAUCUAACAAAUCUAUAAAUGUUUCUACAAACUUGUGCUUAUCGUGUAGGCUAGAUUCUUUUACUUUUGUUUUUGGUGCUUUAAGAUGUCAUAUUACUCAUGAACUUAUGAUGCAUAAGUGUUCUUUCUGCACAACACCCACAUAACACAUUUUAAUUACAACACAUACACCCUCUCUUUUUGUUCAUAUUUUCAUUAUCUCUUUGUUUGUUAUUAUGGAAAUAGUUGUGUUACUGGCAUAUUACUGACACCAUCAAAAGGCAGAAUUCAAUUUAUUUGUCUCACAUUUCGAAAUGCAGCAAGCUUACUAAUUAUCACCCUUUUUUUCCAUCUGUAACUGCAGUCAGUCUCGUUGAAGUGGUAUAUAUGUUCUCACCUGCUUUACAGCGAGACCAAAUAAAAGCAAACUCAAAGAAAAAAAGCUACUUUUCAAAAUUUUAUUCUAGCUUGUUUGCUGAAACCUCCAGGAAAAUUGUCAAGAGAUUUUCAGUAUAAAUGUUUAUGUUACAAACUGAUUCAGAUCCUUUUCCUUUUGCUAUUCUAUCCUUUGUUUUAAAUGAUUAGUGGCUUGUAGUGGUUGACACCACUAUUUGGGGUCAUAGUAGUAAAUGAUAUUAUGUCAUCAUUCUGACAAGGUAUUUAAUAUCUCUCCUUAUUAAUCAUCUUACGCCUUUUAAAUAUUUCAUUACUGCAUUUUUCAUACAUUGUAUGAGGUUUUUUCACCAAAUAAGAGACAAUACUUGGUCAUUUCUCCCGUGGCCUAGAGUGGAGACAGUAUUUUCAUCUCUUAUUAUAAUGUGAAAUGUGUAAUGUAACUCAUGGAAUCAGUAAAAAUAUUCAAUACAUGAAUCAAAAAUCAAGUUAUUUCAGUUAAGAGUAAGAAUCCCUAAAAACUGCAUAGUCAUAUCGCCAACAGUAUUUAUUGAGAUAGUAUAUUGUAAAAUGAAUUCUAUUGAGAGCAAGACAUUUAAAAUGGAGUUACUUAUUGAUCCUAAAAGAAUGAAUCUUCUGCUAAAUGGUUCUGGCUUUCAUUUUUAAUUUCUUGCUCUGUAUUCCCUAAUGUGUCAAAGAGACAAACCCAGCAGUGCAUAUUCCCUGUCCAACCUGUUGACGUGUUUACUGUUAACAUUUAUGGCAAUGGCUAAAAAUUCUAAAAGAUUGCAGCCUAAAGUUUUCUAUGUCUAUCCUUCCACUAACGCACCAAACAGACCUCCCAGACUACAAAAUGAGCAAAGUUUAAUUCCGGAAAAUGUUUCUAGUACCUCUAAGAACGGAGCCAUUCUGCCUUGAAUUUUUAGCCAGAAUUGAAGCAUACAAAGAACAUCCAGGUGAUCUAGCUUGAGCUCUAUCAAGACCACUAUAAUUCACCCAAGAGUGAAGUUGCAAUAUCAUGUACUUUCAAUAUACUACAAAAUCCCAUUUGGAUGCAGCCUUAGUCAUAUUUUAUGUCUCUACAUUUAUGCUGAAUUAGAAAUCUAAUGUCCAGUGACAGACAGACCUGCUUCCUCUGGCAACUCCAAAACCGGUGAUUCUGAUACAUCUCACAUAGUGCUUGGACAUCUGCAUAAAGUCUGUAUAUUUGGCAGCUCCAUCACAGCACAAAGAAGGUAAUGGAGAACAGGUGAGCUUCGUGAAUGAAUCCCUGUGUACAAUAAUUGUCCCAGUUUCCUCUUCAGUCCCUGACAGCUUCCAUUGAGUCAUUAUACUCAAUUUUUUUAUGCUGUGUUAGGCCCCCUAGAAGUACCUACCUGUCUCUACUUAUUAUCAGUCAAGAUGACCAGCUUGGGCUUGAUCCCUGACGUCUAGAUGAUUGGGUUUGAUCAGAUGAUUUUGCCUUUCUAAGUUCUACUUCAUCUUCCCCCUUUAUUUAAACUAAAAGCUUUCAUUAGUCGUUCUUGCCAUAGAAAUAUAUAAAGUGAUCAUGUUGAGGUGUCUAAGCUCUUCUAUGAAUUUCUGCUUUCCAAGAAAGACUCAUCCUCUUGCUCCAACUCCUGUUCUUCAUUUCCCAGUACAUUUUCUUGGAGAUUGCUCAAUUAAAAUGUCAUUAAAAUGGCUAGAUUUAAUUUGUGACUCAGAACAUUUUGAAAAUAAUAAUAUUUUUUCUAGUUACCAGCCCACUGGCUCCUGUAUUUAUAUGGAAAUGUACCAGAAACUAUUGCAUGUCUGUCAAAGAGAUCACAAAGAAAUAUUUUGAGCUGUUUCCUGGGAACAAUGUUUGUAUUAUGGAUUCCAGUAGCAAAGGAUCUCCAAGGCUGAGAAGUUCCUGCUUAUAAAUCAAGGAUAACUGGAUAUAUAUCCUCAUAAACAAGGAUAUCUGGAAUCCCUGGCAAUUCUGAACAAUAAGCAUGGCUGUGCCACCUCAAAGUAGUGGCCUUCAUAUGACUACACUGUGCAGCUUAUUAGGAAGGACAUAGUGCUGCUCUUUCUUUUGUUUCCUUGGAAAAAGUAAUCCUGGAAAGAUUCAGAUUUUCUCACCUCCAAGCAAUUAUAUCCUUUGUCUUAACAUUUUACAGCACUCCAUUGGUGGUAGCCUCAGUAGAACUUGUCUCAAAACCAGGUCACUCCACUGAGACAUAAAUUAGUCUAGACAGAGACCUAACAAACGAAUGUAAUACUUCUGUUAUUGUCAAAAAGGACAAGUAAAUGAUUAUCUUUCCUUGAAAUUUUGCCUCUUCAGCCUCUGUACUGACAGAAGGUUGACCUACACGCCUAUAUAGGUUUUUUCCAGCUCUUACCUACCAGUCUGUUACUGUCUUCAUAGUAGUUUGUGGGUAACUGUAAGAUCUGUUUAAUAUUUAUGAUUCAUCUUUAGCCUUUCUUAAUAUCAAGUUGCCAACCAUCUGCACUUCAGCGAAAAAUACACUUGAUUCUGUUUUACUAAGUCACUGCAAUGUAAGUGCCUAAUAAAAUACCAUUUCUCCUUGCUAGUGUUUGAAGUUUCAGUUUUACUAAGGUUCACCCCACAAGAAGAAAGUAAUUCAAAGAAUCAAUUUCUGAGAGCAGAGAGAGAUCUUCUAGAGGGGAAGCCACUUGUCUGGCAGUGACAAAACUACCCAUUAUCUACAACCACAUAUUAACUAGAGGAAGAAAAAGAAUAUUCAUAUCUUAAAUUGCACUAUGUUAGUGUAAUGGUUGUUCUGAAGAAUUACCUCUGCCACUGGCCUAUAACUACAGCAAUAUAUUCUAAGAAUGAAGGAGUGCUGAAAGUUUAAAAGAAGUUCAGCUUCCAAGUGGGAAGAUCUGAAAUCCAGGCAGAACAAUUGAACUUUUUUCAGAUAUAAGUGGCUUCCUAAAAGAUUGCUAAAGAAGAUUCAGACCCCCUUAUGAAUUUUUUAGAUUUCUGUAGCUGUAAGUAGACAUCAAACUGGUUUUAGUCAUUAUCUUUCAUGGAUCUUUCAAAAUUGGUCUGCUUAGUCCAACCUCACUUAAAGGGUCCUGGUGUAGGUUGAACCAGCCUGUCAUCUGUAACAGGAGCCUCUGGACACUGCAUACCACAGUACAUACACUUACAGCAGUGAAAUAAAUUCACUGAAAAUACAAGCCCUUAGCAACCAGAUAGUAGGAAAGGCUAACAAUGAACCAUAAAUAUUAAGCGGAUCUUACAUUACUUAGCACAGAGACAGUAACUAGGCUCCCAGAGCAGUAUAGUCAUAUUCAAACUGCACACUGACGAAGUUAAUUAGCCUGGACAUUUUUCUGCACAGCUAAUUAGCCUGACUAAUAAACCAUGUUUAUACUCUUUGUUUGAAGCCAACGAUACCUCCAUAUUGUAUGGAUACAGAAUUGCUUACUCAGGACUUUAUCUUUUCAACAAUUCAUGACCCAAAUCUAUUCCUACUUUCUAUUAGUGAUCAUGCUACUCAGGGCAUCUGCUCCUUUCAUAUCAUAGAGAAUGAAUAAAUACAGAUACAGCUUGUCAGUGUGCUAAAGCCAUACAUCUGAACACUAAAAUACUUUUUUUUCAGCAUUUACCAUGCAUAGACUUGCUUGUAGGCCAAGUUUUAUUCCAAGUCUUAAUA